rnacentral:rRNA from 1 species
CCUACGGGAUGCAGCAGUGAGGAAUAUUGGUCAAUGGCCGGAAGGCUGAACCAGCCAUGCCGCGUGAAGGUCAGUGCCCUAUGGGCGUUAAACUUCUUUUGUGCGGGAGCAAUAAUGGUCACGUGUGGCCAGACGAGAGUACCGUACGAAUAAGCAUCGGCUAACUCCGUGCCAGCAGCCGCGGUAAUAAGGGGGAGGUAAGCGUUAUCCGGAUUUAUUGGGUUUAAAGGGUGCGUAGGCUGUGAGGUAAGUCAGCGGUGAAAUGCCCCCGCUCAACGGGGUGAAGUGCCAUUGAUACUGCCUGGCUGGAAUGCGGAUGCGGUGGGAGGAAUGUGUGGUGUAGCGGUGAAAUGCAUAGAUAUCACACAGAACACCGAUUGCGAAGGCAUCUCACGAAUCCGCGAUUGACGCUGAUGCACGAAAGCGUGGGUAUCAAACAGGAUUAGAUACCCCAGUAGUC